AACUACUUAGGCGGAGUUAAUAAAUGAUAAUGAAUGACUAAAUUUAAUUAGCUAUUGAAAAUCAAUAUACUAUAUAUGAAAAAUUAAGAUAAAAUUACAUGAAAAUAAAUCACAAUUAACGAGUAUAAAUAAUGUGUAUUAUACGUUAAAAAAAACUAGUAUUUCUAAAAUACCCAAAUAGCAGGCAUAUAUGUAUCUGAGAAUUUUAACCCGAACAUGAUAUGAUUUAGACUUGUAUUCAGGAUUUAGACAAUAGCAUAAUAUGGUUACCAAGCCUUAUGGUUCGAGUAUUGAGCUAUUGGCCUUACCAAACAACCAAAUAAUACAUUCUCUACUCUG
rnacentral:misc_RNA from 1 species